rnacentral:rRNA from 1 species
GAUGAACGCUGGCGGCGUGCCUAAUACAUGCAAGUCGAGCGAACAGACGAGGAGCUUGCUCCUCUGACGUUAGCGGCGGACGGGUGAGUAACACGUGGAUAACCUACCUAUAAGACUUGGAUAACUUCGGGAAACCGGAGCUAAUACCGGAUAAUAUAUUGAACCGCAUGGUUCAAUAGUGAAAGACGGUUUUGCUGUCACUUAUAGAUGGAUCCGCGCCGCAUUAGCUAGUUGGUAAGGUAACGGCUUACCAAGGCAACGAUGCGUAGCCGACCUGAGAGGGUGAUCGGCCACACUGGAACUGAGACACGGUCCAGACUCCUACGGGAGGCGGCAGUAGGGAAUCUUCCGCAAUGGGCGAAAGCUUGACGGAGCAACGCCGCGUGAGUGAUGAAGGUCUUCGGAUCGUAAAACUCUGUUAUUAGGGAAGAACAAAUGUGUAAGUAACUAUGCACGUCUUGACGGUACCUAAUCAGAAAGCCACGGCUAACUACGUG